UUUAUCCUAACAGACGUUUUAUCCUCGAAAAGAUAAUGAAAACUGUAAUAUCAUCACUUCAAAGGAAAAGAAAUGUUAAGUCAUUUUAGAUUCAGAAGGCAGCAAGUUUUAAGGAGGACUUUUAUUGGGGGUGGAAGAAGGCAUCUUCUUAUGUCUGAGGGAGAAGAGGAAAAAGCCAACCAGUAAACAUCUACUUAGCAUGAUGGUUGAGGCCACAGGCACUGCAGUCCAAAUGUUGCAGUCUCUUUCCACCUACAGCCCUGCUAGAGUCACUUUGCCUCUCUAAGUCUUUCUACUGAAAUAUUCUAAACGGGAGCUGGUUGGAGUCCAAAGCAGCACCACAAGCAAGACAUUCCAUGGAAGUCUCAUAUUUUAUCUCAGAAAUUAAGCUCUGAUGGGAAAGCUCUGAUUCAAGCCUCAGACUUGCAAAGGAGAAAGUAGAGGUGCAGGCAUGUUCCUGUGGGGUCUCUGCCUUUCACUAUGAGUCUUGUCACGGAUGUCUCCAGGUUUGCCUUGGCCAUGAUGGCUAAGUGGCCCCACUUGGUCCCAUGCCUGUGUCUGAGCUGGCUCUGUGGGUGGAGUCAAGCUGCCUUCAGCACAGUGCAUGGCACAUCACGGCUCUCAAUGAAUAUUUGUCGAGGGAAGUCGAUGAAGCAAGAAAGUCUCUCAACUGGUUUUGAGUUAAUGGUCCAAGGUGACAUUAUUUCUUCCUAAGGCAGCAAUUCUCACAGCAGGGGUAGGGAAAGCACCCACUCCUUGGUGGGGAGAGUGAAUGCUAUUUUGCUGGGGGUCAGUCAUGGGAAAGGUGGCAAAGGGGGGGGAAGGUGAAUUUAAUUCAAAAAAAAUUAUGUCUAACAUAAUUACUGUGUCAAAUACUGAUAGUUGGCCCUCAAUUUUUAACUGAGCACAUGGCUGCUGAGAGUUAGGACUACAUUUUCCAGCUACAUGUGGCCAUGUGACUAAGGUCUGGUGAAUGGAAUGUAAGUGGAACUACGUGGCAGCUUAGAGAAACUUCUGUUAAAAGACAACUAGCAUGUGCUUUUGCCCCUUGCAUCUGCAAGCUUACCUGCUUCUUGGAUCACAGGUGUAAGGGGUGGAUCGAGAACUGGGUUUCUCAGCCUCUACAUUAUUCACAUUUUGGGCUUGGAUGAUUUUUUUGUUGUCAUGGGCUGUAGGACAUUUAUCAGCACCUCUGGUCUCUACUGUUUAGAUGACGCUGGCACCUCCUACCCAGUGUGACAAUCAAAAAUGUCACGUCAGACAUUACCAGUUUUCCUUUGGGGGGACAAAAUUACCCCUGAUGGAGAGCCAUUGAUCCAGAGCACAGCUGUCUUAGCCCAGGAGGCAGCUGGGAAUGGCAGAAGGAGCCCGUGUCCCCUAGGACUUGGUAGAGUACAGCCAUCACAUCAGGCAAGGACAGCCAACCUCCAAACUUGUCCUCUUAGGAGAAAUAAAUAUCCCUUUGG